CACGUAGGGUGCGAGCGUUGUCCGGAAUUAUUGGGCGUAAAGAGCUCGUAGGCGGUGUGUCGCGUCGGCCGUGAAAACCUGCAGCUUAACUGUGGGCUUGCGGUCGAUACGGGCAUCACUGGAGUUCGGCAGGGGAGACUGGAAUUCCUGGUGUAGCGGUGGAAUGCGCAGAUAUCAGGAGGAACACCGGUGGCGAAGGCGGGUCUCUGGGCAGUAGCUGACGCUGAGGAGCGAAAGCGUGGGGAGCGAACAGG
rnacentral:rRNA from 1 species